rnacentral:lncRNA from 1 species
UCUAGUUUUUGAAUUAUUCACUGUUCAUAUUACAAACUGGAGAAGCGAACUCGUUUACAUCAAAUACAAAAAAAAAAAAAAGAGAUAUUUUAGAAUAUCUCAUAUGGUUAUAGGUCACUCUCAUGUUCUUUGCUUCUUCUAUCUCUCUCUCUCUCUUUAAUGCCCUGCUCGAGUCUCGAACUGAUCAUACGUUGCACUAGUGUGUGCCUUCGCUGACCGAUAGAGCUACAAGA